rnacentral:rRNA from 1 species
UUGCCUCAGUAACGGCGAGUGAAGCGGCAAAAGCUCAAAUUUGAAAUCUGGCCCUCUCAGGGUCCGAGUUGUAAUUUGUAGAAGCUGUUUCGGGCGUGGCUCCGGUCUAAGUUCCUUGGAACAGGACGUCAUAGAGGGUGAGAAUCCCGUAUGUGACUGGGUGCCUACGCCUAUGUGAAACGCUUUCGACGAGUCGAGUUGUUUGGGAAUGCAGCUCAAAAUGGGUGGUAUAUUUCAUCUAAAGCUAAAUACUGGCCAGAGACCGAUAGCGCACAAGUAGAGUGAUCGAAAGAUGAAAAGCACUUUGGAAAGAGAGUUAAACAGUACGUGAAAUUGUUGAAAGGGAAGCGCUUGCAAUCAGACUUGCGCCCGGGCGAUCAUCGGGGGUUCUCCCCCGUGCACUCGUUCGGGCUCAGGCCAGCAUCGGUUCUCGUGGCGGGACAAAGGCCCUGGGAAUGUGGCCCCUCUCGGGGGGUGUUAUAGCCCAGGGCGCCAUGCCGCCCACGGGGACCGAGGACCGCGCUUCGGCUAGGAUGCUGGCGUAAUGGUUGUAANCNACCCG